rnacentral:lncRNA from 13 species
CAUCAAAUAAUCUAUACUGACUCUCCGUGACUUCAGCAACAUUUCCAGUCCUUGAUGCUCUUCCAGAAUGAUGAUCCCCACCAUCCACAUCAAGAAGAGGGUCAUAGGUGGAAGAAACUUGCCUUGUUUCAGAUAAGACUUUGA